GCCGGCGUAGCUCAAUUGGUAGAGCAACUGACUUGUAAUCAGUAGGUUGGGGGUUCAAGUCCUCUCACCGGCA
rnacentral:tRNA from 2 species